rnacentral:lncRNA from 1 species
UGUUCUAGUGGCUGAGGCAGUGUGUUAGAUUACUCAGCUAUUCUAGUGGUCUGAGGCAGGUGUUAGAUUACUCAGCUGUUCUAGUGGUCUGAGGCAGGUGUUAGAUUACUCAGCUGUUCUAGUGGUCUGAGACAGGUGUUAGAUUACUCAGCGUUCUAGUGGUCUGAGGCGGUGUUAGAUUACUUAGCUGUUCUAGUGGUCUGAGGCAGGUGGUAGAUUACUUAGCGUUUCUAUUGGUCUGAGGCAGGUGGUAGAUUACUUAGCUGUUCUAGUGGUCUGAGACGGUGGUAGAUUACUCAGCUGUUCUAGUGGUCUGAGGCAGGUGUUAGAUUACUCAGCUGUUCAGUGGUCUGAGGCAGGUGUUAGAUACCAGCUGUUCUAGUGUCUGAGGCAGGUUGAGAUUACUCACUGUUCUAGUGGUCUGAGGCAGGGUUAGAUUACUCAGCUUUCUAGUGGUCUGAGGCGUGGUAGAUUACUCAGCUGUUCUAGUGGCUGAGACAGGUGUAAUUACUCAGCUGUUUUCUAGUGGCUGAGACAGGUGGUAGAUUACUCAGCUGUUCAGUGGUCGGAGACAGGUGGAGAUUACUCAGCGUGUUCUA